GGACUAUUAGUUCAGAUGGAUAGAGCAUGAAAUUUCUAAUUUCAGGGUCACAAGUUAGAAUCUUGUAUAGUCCG
rnacentral:tRNA from 1 species